AUACCUUUCUCGGCCUUUUGGCUAAGAUCAAGUGUAGUAUCUGUUCUUAUCAGUUUAAUAUCUGAUACGUGGGCCAUCAGUCCACAUGAUAUUAAAUUAAUUUCUCUCGGGGGAGAGGCCACCACGGUAGCUUGCUACUAGGCUUCUCAAGCGUUGCUCGGGCAUUGCACUGCAGCCCAUGCCUGGCGCACCCCAC